AGGAGAUCAAGAGCAGCCUUCAAGUACUGAAUUUUUUCAAAGGGCAUAUCAACAGUAGCCUCAGCACCCUCAGGCAAGAUACUCCCAUUCUCCAUUACUGGAAAGGGAAGUUCCACGAACUUUAUCAGAGAUGACAAAUUUGGUGGAGGUUUAGGCAGUCUCUGGAUGUUCCUUGGAGUAGAUACCAGUGAAACUCGGAUUCCUGCUUUAGCUAUGGCGAUGGCAAGGUGAAAAAACGGAAUCAUGUGGCCGAAGGCCGACCAUGGAAGCAUGACUACAUGCAUUUUACCAGUCAUUUCCCACCGUGAAUGCACUCCGUAUCAGCCCAACACUGGAAUACAAACCAAACGUAUAGAGAAAAAACAAGUAAAGAGUAAAAUAAGAAAAAUUUUAGAAAAAAAAUGAGUAAGAAAAAAUUGAGAAAAAUAAAUAAAACUGUGUGAAAAAUACAAUUAAUUUCUUCAAAAAUUUUAAUCUUCAUUGAAGAAAAAUUAAUGAAAAUAUAUAUUUUAAUAUUUUUUAUUUAUUAUUAUUAUUAUUUUUUUCUUGAUAUCCAAUAGAUAUAUAUAUAAAAUAUUUUUUUAGCCUUUUUUUCUAGUUACUUUUCAUGAGUCAAAUAAAUUAGAAUAAAAAAAUUGACACGCAUGUGCAUUAUAAGAGAGAGAAGAGCAUUUGUCUUCACCUUUGAAUAAUUGACACAAGUCCCAACUCUUUACGCCACUAACGGGUCAUUAUGAGCUUUUUGGCUUGUUAGAUGACACACCACAUGAGUGUCUGACACGUGACACCUUCCAUUGGUUUGUUUCUAUGGAUCAAUCUUCAUUUUCUGUGUGCAUAUAUUUAGAUGCAUGCCUGUGACCACCUUUAGAUGGGAGGAGGGGGGGUGUUUGUCAUGUGCAUGGAGCAAAUUAAUCGGUGGGCUCGUUUCUAACUUUCAACGUGCUACCAAACUUGGUAGGAAAAAAUGGCAAUUACAUGUGGCUUUAAAAAAACUUCUAAAAAAUUGGUAGGAAAAAAAUAGCACCGUUAAGCCAUGCCCAUAAGUGAAAGGAUAAACAAAAUUACAAAUUGGACAAAUUGCAGAAAGAUGACCCGAACCCAUAACUUCCUACUAAAUCAAGUUCUAAUAUUAUAUUGAAUUAUCAAUUUUUUUAAAAGUUUAAAUUUGUAAUAUUUUGAGUUUAAUAUGUAUAUUAUACUUCUUUACAACCUCAAAAUUUUCUUCAAAAAUAAUUUUAAUGUAAAUUUAUAAAUCAUGUUUAUACUAAAUUCUCUUUUAAAAAUAAAAAUUUUCAGUAAAAUUGUGUUUUGAAUUGUAUUUUUUUAUAAAAUAAAGUAUUACUUUUUAAAUAAUGUUAUUUAAAUUAAAAAUACGAUAAAGGGCAUGGUACCUUAGCAUUCUCUUUUUCAUGAUUGGAUUGAAUAAUAAGUUGUUGGGUUAGAGUCCAGCAUACAUCAAUCUUUGAAUUUGAACAGUUGAUACAUGAAUUAAAUCUAAAUUAUUGAACAAAUAUGCAAAAGAGAAAAUAAAUCUUAAGUUCAAACAUAUGGGAUAAAAAAAAAUGAUUAAUUAGGUUAUAAAAAAAAAAAAAAAAAGACUUUGGUGUGGCUCGACGUUUUUCACGUGUGUCCCUGCUCGAUGAUGAAACUCAUUUUUUAUUUGGUGAAAAUUUGAUUUUUAGAAAAGACUUAGAGUUGCUAUUUAUUUUUGUUUUAUUUUUAAAAGGGAAAACAAAAUAAGGAAAAAAAAAAAAAACCCUAAGUGUGACUCCUAAAGCAAAAACAGGUUUGUGAAAAACCAAAGUCGGGUUCGGGAGUCAAGUUACCUAUUGGGAAGGUACGAUGGUGAGCCAUAACACCCUUUUAAACCCGUGUACAUACAAUCUCUACUAAACGAAUUAAGAGAAUUGUGACAAUUAAUUAAUUAAUUAGGAAUACCAAGAAAAAUAAUCAUGUAAAUGAGUAUGUACAAGUCAUGAUGAAAAUCAAUAUACACAAAAAUAAUUAUCAAAUCUAAUUACAAGAAUACACAAAAUAAUUAACAAGAGAAUUAUACAAAAUGAUUUAUUGAACUAAAUAAAAAAAAGAUAUUAAAAAAAAUUUCAAGAAAUUUCAAAGUAUUUUAUUAAAAAUGAUUUUGAAUUAAUGAUUUCAAUUUAUUUAUUUACAAAAAAAGGUCAAUUUCAAAAAAAGUUAUUUACAUUAUUUUAUUACAAUAUUUUUUUUUUAAAUUUCAAUUUAGCAAUAAAAAUUAUUUUUAUUUGAAUCUUAAAAAAAAAUUCAAGAAAUUUCAAAGUAUUUUAUUAAAAAUGAUUUUGAAUUAAUGAUUUCAAUUUAUUUAUUUACAAAAAAAAUGUCAAUUUCAAAAAAAGUUAUUUACAUUAUUUUAUUACAAUAAUUUUUUUUAAAAUUUCAAUUUAGCAAUAAAAAUUAUUUUUAUUUGCUUUUACUAAAAAUGAAUGAAUUUUUAUGAAUUAUUUAAAAAAGAAAGAAAAUAUAUAAUUUUAUCUACAAAAGUUGUAUCAAUUUAAUUCUAUUUGCAAGCAAAUUAAUUUUUGUUAUUUUUUAUAGAAAACAGACUUUUACAAUUUUAUUUACAAAAAAUAUCAAAAUUCAAUCCAAUUUUAUUAACACCAAAAAAAAAAUUCAAAAAAUUAAUUUUUACAAAAUUAAUUAAAAAAAAUUUUGAAUCCAUUUUACUGUUUGAUUUUAAAAAGAUUUGUUAGAAAAUAAUUAUCUAUGAUUUUAUAAAAAGAUAUUUCAAAUUUAUUACUUACCCUUAAAGAUUUGGAAUUUGUGUAAAAAAAGUUUAUCCAAUUUUAUUAAAAAUAAAUAAAUAAGAUUUUUUAUAUUAUAUUUACAAAAACAUUCCAAUUUUGUUCUCCAAUUUGAUUUUUGCUUUCUUUUCCAAGAAUUUAUUUGCUUUAAAAAAGAAAAAAGAAAAAAAAUGGAAAUCUACAUUUCGACAAUUUUAUCUAAAAGAAAAUUUUUAUUUUACUUGUAUAAAAAAGAUUCAUGAAGAAUUAAAAUAAAAUAAAUAGAUAAAUAAAAUAAAAUAAAAUAAAAAGAAUAAAAAUAUUUUUUUUACUUUAUUUCUAUAUAUAUAAAAAAAGAAGAAUUUUGUCUUAACUACAAGAUGAUUUUGCUUACUUUAUUUAAAUAAAUAAACUAAAAUGAAUAAAUUAAUCAAUUACAAUUUUUUUUUAAAUGAAUUUAACUAAAGGAAUUUUUCCUUAAAAAGGGAUUUUGCACAAAUUUACAUAAAGAAGAAAUUUGAUUAGAAAGAUUUCUUCAUAGACUUCCCUAGUUCACACCUAUCCUAACACCUCAAAAAUUGAUCCCUUAAAUGAGACAUUCUUUAAAAAUUGGCAGGAAAGAGUUUUCUCUGCAAUUGAUAUAGUAAACUUAGGACACAUUUUGAUUGACCCAAAACCAAAAGAUGGUUGUCAUUUCUUACCAACUUGGGAAACUAGAAAUAAAUAAGUUAGGGAUACUAUUCUAAGUACCCUUUCUAAUGAACUUUUUGAUAUUUAUUGUCAAUUUAAAGUUGCAAAAGAAAUUUGGGAUGCAAUAAAUAAAAAAUAUAUUUUGGAAGAUGCAGGAACUCAUAAAUAUGUCAUAGGGAAUUUUAGAAAUUUCCAAAUGACCGAGGAUAGAGAUGUAUCAUCUCAAAUCCAUGACUAUCACUUGUUAUUAAUGACUUAGUUAUUGAAGACAUUAACUUUUAGAGACUUGGAAAAAUUAGAAAAAUAACAUGAAACAUAAAAGGAAACAAAUGUCCUUAGAGAGUGUCAUAAUCCAUAUUAGGAUUGAUGAACAAAACCGAAAUAGAGAUAAUGUUAAGAAAGCUAACGAAUUGUCUUCUAAGACUAAUGUAGUAGAAGAAAAACCUAAACCCAAAAACAAUAGGUCCAGGAAACAAAACUUUAGGACCAACCCCAAUGUAUCAAACAAGGUCCAAAACUCAACUAUUAAAAAAUGGGGUAAUUGCUUUGUUUGUGGCAAGUCUGGACACCAUGCAGUUCAAUGUCGCCAUAGGAAGAGAAUUGAGAAGUCCAAUUCAAAGGCAAAUCUAACAGAGGUAGAGGUGAUCACAGCAGUAAUUUCCUCUGAGGUGAGCAUGGUCACCAAUAUGAAGAACUGGGUGGUAGACUCUAAGGCUACCAUACACAUCUAUGGGAAUAGAAGUGCAUUUACUUCCUAUACCAUUGUAAAGGAAGGAGAUGAACAAGUGUUCAUGGGUGAUUCUAGAUCUACUCCAGUGAUUGACAAAGGGAAAGUUCUUCUCAAGCUAACCUCUGGAAAAGUGUUUGCCCUCAGUGAUGUUCUUCAUGUGUCAGAUAUCCGUUGGAACUUGGUGUCAGUAUCUCUACUUGGAAAAGCAGGAGUGAGGAUCUUGUUUGACUAUGAUAAAAUAGUUUUAACCAAGAAUGACGCAUUUGUGGGAAAGGGCUAUUAUGUUUAUUAUAUUAUCAAUAAUAAUGCAUCUUCUUCCGUUGCAUGCUUACAUAGUUGAUUCUUGUGAUAUUUAGCAUGGUAGACUAGGACAUGUGAACUUUUCAUAUAUGAAGAAAAUUGUUGAAUUAAGUUUAAUCCCUAAAUUGUCCUUAGAAAACCAUGGAAAAUGUGAAUCUUGUGUAAAAUCUAAAACCAUAAAGAAAUCUUGCAAAUUAGUUGAAAGAGAAUCAGAUCUACUAAGUUUAAUACACAAUGACUUAGGAGACCUAAAAAAUACAAUAACUAGAGGUGGUAAAUGAUUCUACAUAACUUUCAUAGAUGACUACUCAAGGUAUACAAUGGUAUAUCUUUUGAGAAACAAAAAUGAAGCAAAAGAUGCUUUCAUGAAAUACAAAAAUGAAAUGGAAAAUCAACUAAGUAAGAAAAUUAAAAGGCUUAGAAUUAAUAGGGGAGGAAAGUAUGAGUCCAACCCCUUUAAUUCUUUUUUUGAAGAUCAUGGGAUCAUUCACGAAACUACUCUUCUUUAUUCCCCUAAGUCUAAUGGAGUAGCAGAAAGGAAAAAUAGGACCUUAAAAGAAAUUAUAAAUGCAAUGUUGGUAAGUUCAAGAGCACUCUUGAACUUAUGGGGGAAAGUUAUCUUAUCUACAUGUCAUAUUCAAAAUAGAAUACCUUACAAGAAAACUGGUAAAACUCCUUAUGAGUUGUGGAAGGGUUAUGCACCUAAUAUAACAUACCUGAAAGUGUGGGGGUGUUUAGCUAAAGUUUUUCUCCUUGAACCUAAAAAACGAAAACCAGGUCCUAAAACCUUCGAUGCAAUGUUCAUUGGUUAUACUAAGAAUAAUGCGACAUAUAGGUUUCUUGUUACUAAGUCAGAAAAUAGUCUUGUAGAUGUCAAUACUAUACUAGAAACAAAGAAUGCAGAUUUCUUUGAAAACAUCUUUCCUAUGAAACUAAAUGGUGAACAACAAGUUCGGAAAACAAGUAGAGAUAAGUCUAUUGAACCUUUUGAAUUUGAACCUAAGAGUAAAAGAGAUAGGAAAGAAACAAACCUUGGAGAUGGUUUCUACACCUUCCUAAUAGAUGAAGACCCUAGAUCCUACAAAGAAGCUAUAACUUCUCCUGAUACACCAUUCUGGAAGAAGGCCAUUAACAAUGAAAUCGAAUCAAUCAUGUAUAACCAUACAUGAGAGUUAGUAGAUUUACCUCAUGGUGCAAAGACUAUUAGUUGUAAAUAGAUCUUUAAAAGAAAGUUAAAACAAGAUGGGUCCAUAGAGAAGUAUAAAGUUCGUUUAGUUGCCAAAGGAUUUAAACAAAUGAAUGAUGUAGACUACUUUGACACUUUUACCCCUAUGACUAGAAUAGCAUCAAUUAGAGUAUUGAUCGCUCUAGCUUCCAUUCAUAAUUUGGUGAUAUACCAAAUGGAUGUCAAGACUGCAUUCUUGAAUGGGGAUUUGGAAGAGGAAAUUUAUAUGAAACAACCUGAAGGUUGUGUAGUUCCAGGAAAGGAAAAAAAAGUGUGGAAGUUGGUUAAAUCACUAUAUGGGUUAAAACAAACUCCCAAACAGUGGCACAACAAGUUUAAUCAUGUGUUAGUAACUAAUGGAUAUUCUAGUAAUGAUGUUGAUAAGUGUAUCUACAACAAGUAUGAGGAUUACACAUGUGUAGUCAUUUACCUUUAUGUUGAUGACAUGCUAAUCUUCGGAACUAGCCUAGAGGUUGUGUGUGAGACCAAUAAAUUCCUAAGUUCUAAGUUUGAUAUGAAAGGCCUAAAGGAGGCAGAUGUGAUUCUAGGAAUUAAAAUAACUAGAACACCUAAUGGGCUUAAACUUUAUCAAGAGCACUAUGUUGAAAAUAUCCUAAGGAAGUUUAAACACUUUGAUUGUAAACCAGUAUCAACUCCUUAUGAUCCCAGCUCACAGCUAAAGAAAAAUAGAGAAUAUAGUGUUGCCCAAAUAGAGUAUGCUCAUAUCAUAGGAAACUUAAUGUACUUAAUGAACUGUACCAGACCUGACAUUACUUAAGCAGUAGGUAAAUUGAGUCGAUACACCCAAAGUACUAAUCAGGACCAUUGGACUGUUGUUUGUAGAGUCCUUGAGUAUUUGAGAGACAUCAUUAACUAUGGUUUGUGCUUUAGUGGAUUUCCAAGUGUCCUUGAAGGUUUUAGUGAUGCAAAUUGGAUUUCAGAUUCAGAUGAGAUGAAAUCCACUAGUGGAUAUGUUUUAAUCCUUGGUGGAAGUGCAGUUUCUUGGAAGUUUGCAAAGCAAACUUGCACUACUCGGUCUACUAUGGAGGUUGAGUUUAUUGCCUUAGGAAAAACAAGUUUUGAGGUUGAGUGACUUAGAAACAUCUUAACAAAUAUCCUUUUAUGGAUGAGACUAGCCUCGUCUGUGUCUAUAUGUUGUGAUAGCCAAGCUACAAUUGCUAAUGCUAAGAGUAAAAUAUUUAAUGGGAAGAACAUGCAUAUACGUCUAAGGCACAAUAUUGUGCAACAGUUGCUUGAAACACAGGUUAUAUCUCUAGAAUGAGUGAGGUCAAAGUUGAAUUUGGCCGAUCAUUUGACCAAACCACUAAAUAAGAAACUAGUGAAAUAAACAUCGACAGUGAUGAGGCAAAUGCCUAUUACAGAAGUCAAGAGUGGUGGUAAUCCAAUCUAUUAGAAUGGAAAUUCUAUGAAGUAGGUUCAUAUGGGUAAUAACAAAUCACUUGUUGACUUGAGGUGCUCUAUCAACUCUAAUUGUAUGAGAGUUUAUCCCUAUGGUGUAGAUAGAGCAUAUUCUGCAUUGAUUAAGGUUGAGUGUUUACUCUUAAUGAAUACCAUAUUCCUUAUGGAUGGUACGUUUAAUGUAGAACAUACUUGAUGGAUUCAUCUAUAUGAGAGUGGAGGUGGGGUCGCUUCCUAUGAGAACUUAGGCAGGUUCUCUAGAGCUCUCAUGAACAUCCAGGCAAGGCGCAUGGUCUAUUUGUGCCAACCCGUUUUAUACAGCUCGUAGUGUAGUUGAGAAAACAAAUGUGGAUAAAAGUCCCUUGAGUUACAUCAAGAAACACUGGUUCAUAGAAAUUUAUUUUCACCUUUGUGAUUCAAUCCUUAUUUGUCCUGAGACUGGUUCAUAGCCUUUGUGCACCAGUACUAAUGCAUUAGAUUUUUUUUCCUUCAAAAAAAAUUACAUUUACACUUAGUGAGGGAUUGUAGGAAGAGUGUAAAUAAUUUUUUAUUUUAUUUUAUUCUAUUAGUCUUAUAUUUUUGGAAAGAAUCCUAUUGAGAAUUAUUUUUAUUUUAUUUUAUUAGUCUUAUAUUUUUUGGAAGAGUCCUAUUGGGAUUGUGCUAGUGGAGUCCCAUUCCAUUUAUAAGUAGAAUCCCCUUCCACUUUGAGUCAUAUUCUAAUUACAAGUAGAGUCCCAUUGAGACUGUGUUAGUGACCUAUAAAAGCAGACCACCCCUCACUCUUUAUAUACGAAUACCAAAUUUUCAAAGAAUUUUUCAAAGAGUCUUUUCAUACAUCUAUCUGGAGGAAUUUUUUCAAAACCCGAGUUGUACACAUCUCGCUUACAGAGUGCACCCAAAACGAGAUCUGGUUGUUGAAUCCUGGAGGUAGACCACUGGUACCCUAGUGCACCAAGUUCGUUUUCGAGGAGAGUGGAUAUAUUUCAAGGACAGUAUUUGUCACACCUCGAUCGAUAAGUUUUUCUUCUUAUUAAUUAUGUUCUUUAUUUGUGUCUUUCGGGUUAGUCAUUUGUUUCCAUACCCUUAAAUCCAACAUGCAUGUGAGCAUCACUUCAGAUGCAUUUUGUCCAUAGAAACCAGCAUAAACACUAUAUGCUUCAUAUCCUCGGACAACCUCUAAAUAUUAAAAAUUGAUCCACUCUGAUGGUGACAUCAAACUCUCCGACGAUGGUUGAAGCCUCUUUCUACCUUCAUUAGCUAGGUAUUCUUGGGAAAUCUCUAUAAAAGAGUACACAAAAUGAAAUGACAUAAAGGAAAUGUUUAGAAUCGAGUUCAUAAUAAUAAGAAUCACUUUAAUUAAUAUUUCUAUAAAUCAAGGAGAUGCAUAUAAUGGCGGGACAUUUAUAAUGAGAUGCAUAGAAUUAUACAAAAGACACACAAAAUGGGGUGCAUAAUGAUAAGAAUUCACUCUAUCCAAUAUUUUUGUAAAUUAAAACUAGUUAGAUAUUAAUAAUAUUUUAUUCUUUUAAUUGAAGAAAUAAUAUUUUUUUUUCCUUAUUAUUCAUUUUUUUUUGUAUAAUUCAUAAUAUAUUUUUCUAUAAAUUUUUGUAAAGAAAUAAUAGAACUCAAUGUUUUUAUUGUCAAAAUUAUCAAACUCUUAAUGGAACUAGAGUUAGGGGAAGAGGCUUGAAGUUAAACCUUCUCUUUCUAAAAAACCACGUAUUCCUUUUUUUUUUUUAAAAAAAAAAAAUCCAAGCCUUCCAUAAGUUUUUUAGUUUGAUGUUAAUCAAAAUAAACACAACAAAUUUCCUAGUGUGGCAAAAUAAAAUCAUCUUCUUGGUUUGUGAUAUUAGUUUUCUCCAUCAUAUCUUAAGUGGAGAACCUAUUGAAAAAAUUAAGGAUGAUGAGAGAAAUAAAAGUUUUAUCCUAAUUUGAUUUCAAUCAAGCUAAACAUCACAAAUUUCCUAUUAUGUUGAAAUCAAAUCAUCAUCUUAGUCCAUCACAUGAGUGUUCUCCGUCAUUUCUUAAAUAGAGAAAAACUUGUUGAUGAAGAAAUUAAGAAUGAUAAGGGAAGCGAAAUUCAUAUAUUGCAAUACUAGUUAUGAAUUUACAAUGACGAAUUUGUCACUUCAUGAAUUCUUGAAACUUUGAAAGAAGACGUUUUUUUAACAUGAAAUGUAAGCAACGAGACCAAGCUAUGAAACAAUAGGAUGUUUGCCACUCCUAUUUAUGGGCUUGAGCGAUCUGAGUUCUCAUUUCUUUGGGCAUACUUAGAAAAUGAAUAUGAUUGAUUUGUUGAAGAUGUUAUGCUCUAUUGUCCAAUUUCAAUGGUUGAACCUCCUAUGAUGCAUUUCUUAAUUCAAGAUCUUACUAAUUGAAAUCAAAGGAUUACCAAUUCAAAGUGAUGAAUUGUUUCCAUAAUUAUAAUUUCAUUUUAUAUUGGACUAGAUUGAAAUAGGAUUAUAUACUCAUUAUGAGAAGAAGUGAUUCGAGCUUAUCUUAGAUAAAUAACUAUGUUUACAUAUAAAUCCCUACCUAGUUGCAUUCUAUUUAGGAUUAAGAGUAGACGUGGCAUAGGGGUGAUGUUAAUGAGAUGGGCAGCACAGGUGGAAAUUCUAGCACAGCUAUCAGUUGGGGGCUCAUUGUUCCACUCUGGGUGGGGUCCAGCCAUAGAAACAUUUCAAUUUGGGUAUCGUCUCAUUGUAUUACCAUUCAUAAUCGAUCAAAGCUUUAAUGCAAGACUUUUUGUGGGGAAGAGUAUGUCUGCGGAAGUAGAGAGAAGUGAAGAUGGGUCAUCUAGCGGAGAGGACGAAGCAAUGAUAAAAGGAUAUCAAGUGAUUAAAUAAUCUAAAAUUAAAAGAUGAUAAAAGAGUACAAUAUUCCGUACUACAUAUGCACCCAACCCAAUAUUAUCAGCAAUCAAGAUUCACAUGCGUGCUUUCAUACUAUUGUAAUGAAAUUAGAAUUUUGUAAACAACAUUGGAACUUCUCAAAAAUUGGCAGACAUAUCACUUCUGCUUUGCAAACCCAGUUUUCAGAUACUUAACAAACCCUCCUAUAUAGUGAUCCUGAUGGAGCUUCGGGUCGCCAAAAAUGGCAGCUGCCUCUCUUGCAUGGAUCCUCAGCUUCUCUCCUUCCUCGGACACCGUGGCAAGUCUCAAAGACUUGGCUAUGUCUUCCCUGCUAAAUGAUCCGUCUUCUCUUCUCUCUACUUCCACAGCCAAACCCUUCUCCACAAGCAGCCUUGCAUUCAAACCUUGAUCAAUAAUGAUGGGCAAUACAAUAAGACAGUGGCCAAAUUGAAGGGUUUCUAUCACUGAACCCCACCCAGAAUGAAACAAUGAACCUCCGAUUGAUGGGUGUGCCAGAAUCUCCAUCUGUGGCGCCCAUCCCAUACACACCAUCCCCCUGCCGGAGGUCCGGCCACUGAAACCGGAAGGUAGGGCAUCGGCAUCUUCAAUAGCCCAGUCGGGUUUUCUGAGUGCCCACAGAAAUGGCAAUUCGGAUGGCUCUAGCCCAUAAGCUAUCUCAUGAACUUGGUCUUUUGUCAACUUACACUCACUCCCAAACCCUACAAACACAACUGACUUGGGCUUUUGUUCAUUAAGCCAUUUGAAGUUCUCCCCCCAUGACCCAUCAGUGAUUUGAAUUUCUCUCCCUUCUGCCUUUUCCGGCGGGAGUAAACCCACAGGAAUCACCGGCUUGCCCAUGAGAUUUCCAAGUAAAUUCAGGUAUUCACCUUCAUACUCCACACAACUACGCACAGCCACGGCUUGACAUGAAUUAAUGAUCUCGACAUAUCUUGCAGCGUCAGUUGUUCCAGAAGCGUUAUUAGUAAAGAAGCCGGAAUAGACGGCUUUUGCCUCAUAGCCCUUGAAAGCCACUGAAGAUGGAAAACUGAUCCAUUCCGGCGGUGAUGUCAUACUCUCCGGAGAUGACCUAAGUCUCCUUCGACCAUCUCCGACGAGGGAAUAAGCAGGCCCAACGAAGGCAAGUGUUGAAGCCGAGAAAACAGAGAAGUACACGAGCGGUACACCAUGUUCUCGAGCAAUUGAACUGACCCAAUGCGGGAAGAAAUCGAUGAUUAUUCAAUCUGGUGAAGUAUCAGCAACAUACUGCUUGAAGGGGUGUUGAAGGAGAUCAAGAGCAGCCUUCAAGUACUGAAUUUUUUCAAAGGGCAUAUCAACAGUAGCCUCAGCACCCUCAGGCAAGAUACUCCCAUUCUCCAUUACUGGAAAGGGAAGUUCCACGAACUUGAUCAGAGAUGACAAAUUUGGUGGAGGUUUAAGCAGUCUCUGGAUGUUCCUCGGAGUAGAUACCAGUGAAACUCGGAUUCCUGCUUUAGCUAUGGCGAUGGCGAGGUGAAAAAACGGAAUCAUGUGGCCAAAGGCCGACCAUGGAAGCAUGACUACAUGCAUUUUACCAGCCAUUUCCCACCGUGAAUGCACUCCGUACCAG
rnacentral:lncRNA from 1 species